ACAUUUCGGUCGCACGAAAAAGGCCACGGUGGCCGCUCUCAGGCUUUUCUCUGCUUUAAUAUAUUUGGGAGAAGACACAGAUUGUCAGAACUUUGAAAACAAUGUUAAACGUAUUGAAAUACCAUUAUUUUAAUUAUGGUUUACGCCAAUUGAAAAGAUUGUCGGCUUAUUCUUCAUUAAAGUUAUAUUUAUCAACUUCGUCACUUACUAUGACCAAGGAACAGGAAUGUAAAAAUUAUAGAAUCGAGAGAGAUACAUUUGGAGAAUUGAAGGUGCCUGCAGAUAAAUAUUAUGGUGCCCAAACUCUUCGGGCAUUGAUAAACUUUCCAAUCGGUGAUACGUUUGAACGUAUGCCUUGCAGGUUGAUAACAGCAAUGGGCAUAUUAAAAAAAGCUGCAGCAGAAGUAAAUAAAGAAUAUAAUUUAGAUCCUAAAAUUGCUGAUGCCAUUAGCAAGGCAGCAGAUGACGUAAUAAGUGGGAAGUUAUACAAUGACCAUUUUCCCUUAAUUAUUUGGCAAACCGGAUCUGGCACGCAAACUCAUAUGAAUGUCAAUGAGGUUAUUGCUAAUCGUGCGAUUGAGAUACUUGGUGGCGAACUUGGCUCAAAAAAACCAGUACAUCCAAAUGAUCAUGUUAACAUGUCGCAGAGCAGCAAUGAUACGUUUCCAACAGCCAUGCAUAUAGCUGUUGCUUUGGAGAUUCAUAAAGUGUUAAUUCCAGGAUUGGAGGAAUUAAAUAAAGCAUUGAAAGAAAAAGCAGACGAAUGGAAAGGCAUUAUAAAAAUUGGUAGAACACAUACUCAGGAUGCGGUACCACUAACGUUGGGUCAAGAAUUUUCAGGAUAUGCCACACAAGUCAAAUAUGGUAUUGCAAGAAUAAAAGAUACACUCCCAAGAUUGUAUCAAUUAGCUCUUGGUGGUACAGCAGUUGGAACUGGAUUAAACACGCGAAAGGGUUUUUCAGAAAAGGCAGUUGCGAAAAUUGCGGAGUUUACUGGUUUACCGUUUGUCUGUGCACCAAAUAAAUUCGAAGCUCUAGCUGCGCAUGAUGCAAUUGUUGAAGUACAUGGCGCUUUUAAUACAGUGGCCGUUUCUCUUAUGAAAAUUGCAAAUGACAUUAGAUUUCUUGGAAGUGGACCUAGAUGCGGUUUAGGAGAAUUAUCUCUUCCAGAAAAUGAGCCUGGAAGUUCUAUUAUGCCUGGGAAAGUAAAUCCUACACAAGCCGAAUCAAUGACCAUGAGAAUUCUCGGAAGUGUCCUAGAUGCGCACAGUAAUAAACGAGUGAGGCCCGAUUGCGCACAUAAACGAUCGGAUACAGUAAUUUUUUCUGAUUGAACACGACUGCUCCUAUCGGACACACCCUAUUGAACAGGAGCGUCCCAGAUGCGUACGGACACAUCAGGCUGAGUGAAACGGACAUAGUGCGAAACGGAAACAGAUCAAAUGCGCACAGAACAAACGGACUUAACACAUGGGUUGCGACUUUUCAGGGCACCCCUACCAACGAGCCUGCUGUAUCCGUUUAUUACUGUGCGCAACUGAGACUUACUGUAUGGGACACAACAACGAUCGGACAUAGAAAUAAUUGCACACGGAUCCGAUUGCGCACGGACCCAUUUGCACACGAUACGAUUCAGCAUCGCAGAUAGUACAUGGAUUAGCGACGAGAGGAGGCCGAUAGUGCGGCUGCCGUCCCGGUGCACGUUUGUGGUAUGUGUUCGGCGAGUCGUAGUCGCGAGUGAGUCCCAAGGUCAGAAUUGCAAAGUUAGCUCAUAUUUCCUAACACCAAAAAAAA
rnacentral:misc_RNA from 1 species